GGUGGUGUGGUGUAAUGGUAGCACGUCACGUUGUGGUCUUCCUUCCGGGACUAUCAUCGAAGCCCGUGAUAAUCGGGGUUCGAUUCCCUGCACCGCCA